GUCCAGGGUAGCCUAGUGGUCAUGGCAUCUGCCCGGUAAGCGGAAGGUCGUGGGUUCGAUUCCCCAUCCCUUGACA
rnacentral:tRNA from 1 species